rnacentral:snRNA from 1 species
UCAUUGAUAAAUCCCAUAAAAUUUGAACGAUACAAAGAGGAUUAGCAUGCUCGUCUGCAAGGAUGGCGCGCACAACUGAGAAAAAGAAAUGUUUUAU